CUGCUGCCUUCCGUAGGAGUUUGGUCCGCGUCUCAGUACCAAUGUGGGGGGUUAACCUCUCAGUCCCCCUAUGUAUCGUCGCCUUGGUGAGCCGUUACCUCACCAACCAGCUAAUACAACGCAUGCCCAUCAUCAACCACCGGAGUUUUCAACCCCAUGCGAUACCGCAUGAGAUAUUAUGGGGUAUUAGUACCAAUUUCUCAGUGUUAUCCCCCUGUUGAUGGUAGGUUGCAUACGCGUUACGCACCCGUGCGCCGGUCG
rnacentral:rRNA from 1 species